rnacentral:rRNA from 1 species
UACGUAGGGUGCGAGCGUUGCCCGGAUUUAUUGGGCGUAAAGGGCGCGUAGGCGGUCGUGACAAGUCACUUGUGAAAUCUCCGGGCUUAACUCGGAACGGUCAAGUGAUACUGUCGGACUAGAGUACAGAAGGGGCAACUGGAAUUCUCGGUGUAGCGGUGAAAUGCGUAGAUAUCGAGAGGAACACCUGCGGCGAAGGCGGGUUGCUGGGCUGAUACUGACGCUGAGGCGCGAAAGCCAGGGGAGCGAACGGG